UACGAAGGGUGCAAGCGUUACUCGGAAUUACUGGGCGUAAAGCGUGCGUAGGUGGUUGUUUAAGUCUGUCGUGAAAGCCCUGGGCUCAACCUGGGAAUUGCGAUGGAUACUGGGCGACUAGAGUGUGGUAGAGGAUAGUGGAAUUUCCGGUGUAGCAGUGAAAUGCGUAGAGAUCGGAAGGAACAUCUGUGGCGAAGGCGACUAUCUGGGCCAACACUGACACUGAGGCACGAAAGCGUGGGGAGCAAACAGGAUUAGAUACCCUGGUAGUCCACGCCCUAAACGAUGCGAACUGGAUGUUGGGUUCAACUUGGAACCCAGUAUCGAAGCUAACGCGUUAAGUUCGCCGCCUGGGGAGUACGGUCGCAAGACUGAA
rnacentral:rRNA from 1 species